rnacentral:rRNA from 1 species
UAGUGGCGAACGGGUGAGUAACACGUGGGCAAUCUGCCCUUCACUCUGNGACAAGCCCUGGAAACGGGGUCUAAUACCGGAUAACACUUUUCCCUGCAUGGGGGAGGGUUGAAAGCUCCGGCGGUGAAGGAUGAGCCCGCGGCCUAUCAGCUUGUUGGUGGGGUGAUGGCCUACCAAGGCGACGACGGGUAGCCGGCCUGAGAGGGCGACCGGCCACACUGGGACUGAGACACGGCCCAGACUCCUACGGGAGGCAGCAGUGGGGAAUAUUGCACAAUGGGCGGAAGCCUGAUGCAGCGACGCCGCGUGAGGGAUGACGGCCUUCGGGUUGUAAACCUCUUUCAGCAGGGAAGAAGCGUGAGUGACGGUACCUGCAGAAGAAGCGCCGGCUAACUACGUGCCAGCAGCCGCGGUAAUACGUAGGGCGCAAGCGUUGUCCGGAAUUAUUGGGCGUAAAGAGCUCGUAGGCGGCUUGUCGCGUCGGAUGUGAAAGCCCGGGGCUCAACCCCGGGUCUGCAUUCGAUACGGGCAGGCUGGAGUGUGGNAGGGNAGAUCGGAAUUCCU